rnacentral:rRNA from 1 species
UACGAAGGGUGCAAACGUUGCUCGGAAUUAUUGGGCGUAAAGCGCACGUAGGCGGCAUCGCAAGUCGGAUGUGAAAUCUUAUGGCUUAACCAUAAAAGUGCAUCCGAAACUGCAGUGCUUGAGUACUUAAGAGGAUCGCGGAAUUCCCGGUGUAGAGGUGAAAUUCGUAGAUAUCGGGAGGAACACCAGUGGCGAAGGCGGCUACUGG